UGUGAUGAGCGAUCUGUGCCUGGCUGUGCGCGCUGUCAUCCGGCCGGGCACGGCGCUGCAGAAGGGGCUCGGAUGCUCAGAGGGUGUACGUGGAAGGGGAAAAGUUCAGCUGUAUCAUGAGCUAUCUGGGAAGGUAGUUGCGAGGAAGCAGGCGAGUUUCUCGUGCCAGUCCCUGGCUUACUUGUAUGAAUAACCCAUGACUAAAGCAUCAGCUCCACGGGCGGUUGUGAGAAUCUCUGAGCGAGCCUCCGAGCACACUUGGUCACUGUGCAACGGGACAAAUUGCCGGGUGCUGCAGUCCAAUUCCCUCCUCAGCCCUGCCAGGACUAAUUCAUUUCCCUAAGGGUGGCUUCUGCCAACAACUCGCACUCAUCCAGGACCCUCAUGGCAUCAACAGCAACUCUUGAGUUUACCCACGCCGCUCCUUCUCCUGAGCCACGUGAGUUGCAGCUAGGUUUAAGCAGGCUUCUGAGCUUCCCUGACUUCUCCCCCGUGAAGGAAUAUAUGAUUUCUUCUACCUUGGGAAGCGAGAAAUGAAGAAUGGUCAUUGUUACCACCCUCUGCCCAGCCAUCACUCUCUGCGCUCCGCUGCCUCUGGAGCAACCCGAAGCAGAUUAUAAAGUUCUUUUGCUAAAAGAACUCCAAAAUUGUUUCUUAAAAAGAAAAAAAAAAUAGCGGAUCGGUUGUGGUUGAUGAUGCUUACCACUCUACGAAACUCUGUGGUUUGCAGUCAAAACGAUUCGCCCUGCCUGCUGACCAAUAUCCCGGACCCGCUCUUGUGUGACUGCCUCUGUACCCAACUUGUGGUUCUGUGGUUGUUUAUGAGGCCCAAAGAAGUGUUUCACACAACCAAAAUUACAAAUUUAACUGUUCCCCUUUCCAUAACCUGCCUCCAUUGGUCCCUCUGUGUCACGUGACCUGAGUGAUGUCGACUUACUUUCUUUUUUUUUUUUUUUUUUUUUU